CCUACGGGCGGCAGCAGUAGGGAAUAUUGCACAAUGGGGGAAACCCUGAAGCAGCAACGCCGCGUGGAUGAUGAAGGUCUUCGGAUCGUAAACUCCUGUUGUGAGAGAAGAUAAUGACGGUAUCUCACGAAUAAGCACCGGCUAACUACGUGCCAGCAGCCGCGGUAAUACGGAGGGGGCAAGCGUUACUCGGAAUGACUGGGCGUAAAGAGGGCGCAGGCGGGGUUGCAAGCCAGAUGUGAAAGCCUGUGGCUUAACUACAGAACUGCAUUUGAAACUAUGUGUCUGGAGUGCGGGAGAGGUAGGUGGAAUUCUUGGUGUAGGGGUAAAAUCCGUAGAUAUCAGGAGGAAUACCGAUUGCGAAGGCGGCCUACUGGAACGUAACUGACGCUCAUGCACGAAAGCGUGGGGAGCAAACAGGAUUAGAUACCCAUGUAGUC
rnacentral:rRNA from 1 species